CUACGGGGUGCUGCAGUGAGGAAUAUUGCACAAUGGGGGGAACCCUGAUGCAGCAACGCCGCGUGGAGGAUGACGCAUUUCGGUGUGUAAACUCCUUUUAUAUGUCAAGAAAAUGACGGUAGCAUAUGAAUAAGCACCGGCUAACUCCGUGCCAGCAGCUGCGGUAAUAGGAGGGUGCAAGCGUUACUCGGAAUCACUGGGCGUAAAGGACGCGUAGGCGGGUUGGAAAGUCAGGUGUGAAAUCCUACAGCUUAACUGUAGAACUGCACUUGAAACUUCUAAUCUAGAGUAUGGGAGGGGGAGAUGGAAUUAGUGGUGUAGGGGUAAAAUCCGUAGAUAUCACUAGGAAUACCUAAAGCGAAGGCGAUUUCCUGGAACAUUACUGACGCUAAGGCGUGAAAGCGUGGGGAGCAAACAGGAUUAGAUACCCCGGUAGUC
rnacentral:rRNA from 1 species